rnacentral:rRNA from 1 species
AAAAUUGACCCGGGGCCCGAUUUACUUGUUACACACAAAUCGAGGGCCCCGGUCGGCGCACCGCAGGCCCGUCUCAUGAUGCCACAACGUUGGCGAGGCGGAGCCAGAGCGCACACGUUGGGACCCGAAAGAUGGUGAACUAUGCUUGGGCAGGACGAAGCCAGAGGAAACUCUGGUGGAGGUCCGUAGCGAUUCUGACGUGCAAAUCGAUCGUCGGACCUGAGUAUAGGGGCGAAAGACUAAUCGAACCGUCUAGUAGCUGGUUCCCUCCGAAGUUUCCCUCAGGAUAGCUGGCACUCGGUGAGGAACGCAGUCUCAUCCGGUAAAGCGAAUGAUUAGAGGCCUUGGGGCCGAAACGACCUCAACCUAUUCUCAAACUUUCAAUGGGUGAGAAGUCCGGCAUGCUUGACUUGAUGCCCGGACGGCACCCCUCUUGAAAUUACGGAGGUUCGUUCAAACGAGAUUCCCACUGUAUAAAAAAGAGCAAAAGAGGUGUCAGCCGGUGUGCUGGGGCCAUCGUUUCCCCGGAAUGUCGGCGGGUCAAACCCCGGCAGGAAAGGGAUCGAUCGGUUACCCGGUCGCCUGGUAAAAAGAAAGAUAAAAAAACGGAUGCGA